AACUUCUCCUAUGCAACCUAAGCCUGGUGUCCUCAGUCAGUGAAACUUAUCGAGGAUGUUGAGAAAGUGCAGAGACGAGCAACUAAAUACAUAUUAAAUCUUGGGUUUAUCACAAACAUUUCUUACAAGACAAGACUCCUUCAGCUUGACAUAUUACCUGUCUCAUAUUGGCACGAAUACUUGGAUCUGGUGUUCCUCUACAAGAUCAUCAAUAAUCUUACAUACAUUGACGAACGUGCUCUACCGAUCAUGGCUGGAUCAGGAAUUACAAGAAGUGAAUCAAACGCAAACCUGAUUAGAUUUGUUAUUCCUUAUACGAAAACCGUAACAUUCCAGACCUCAUUUUUUAUAAGAACUUGCAAAACGUGGAACAUAUUAAAUAGUAACUUGCGUACUAGAGAUAUAGGUUUGCUAUCUUUUAAAUCAGGUCUUAAACUCUACUACA